AUGCCCAACCGCAGCCUCGACAUCCAUCUCCAUGGCAAGCAGGGCACCUUCCUCACAUGGCCGAUGAGGAUGAGGAUAGUGAUGGAGCUCGGGUCCGUGCUGCUCUACCUCCACGAGGAGUGGGAGCAGUGCGUGCUGCACCGGAACAUCAAGCCCAGCAACAUGAUGCUAGACGAGUCAUUUGGAGCUAAGCUGGGCGACUUCGGGCUCGCAAGGCUUGUCGACCAUGCCACCGGGACGCAGACUAUGACCGCAGUCUCAGGGACUCCGGGCUACUUGGACCCCCAGUGUGUCGUCACCGGCAGGGCCAGCGCUGAGUCAGACGUGUACAGCUUCGGCGUGGUUCUGCUGGAGGUGGUGUGCGGCAGGAAGCCGAUGAGCUUCACUGCGACCGAUCAGGACCAGCAACAAAAGAACGGUGGCGUGUUCCGGCUGGUUGAGUGGGUUUGGGGGCUGUACGGCCGGGGAUCUAUUCUUGAGUCCGCCGACAAGCUGCUGAAUGGUGACUUAGACGCAGCACAGGUGGAGAGGGUGCUGGUCGUCGGGCUGUGGUGUGCACACCCGGACCCGAGCGCGCGGCCAACCAUCAGAGAAGCCAUGGCCAAGCUCCACUCCAAGGUCGACAAGCUGCCAGUGCUCCCCUCCAAGAUGCCGGUGCCGACAUAUGCUCAGCCACCGUCCGCCUUGGACGUGGAUGAUGGGCUGUCAACGUUGCUGCCAUCGUCCACCAGCACCAGCGUCCCACCGCACACCACUUGUACAACAACCAGUUCUUCAGACGGACAUGGUAGCACCUCGACGACCAGUUAA
rnacentral:rRNA from 1 species